rnacentral:lncRNA from 10 species
CGGGUAGAGCUUGGCCACGUGGGCCGAGUGCCCGGUUUCUGUUUUUCUCCCGGUGCAGGAAAACAUGAAGAACGGGGAAAGUAGCUGCCGCAUGCCAAUGUGAAACUCCGAGGAGUCUAGCCAUUCUGAUCUGGCCUUCCAGGUCAUUAGGAGGCUCUGCCAUCGUGUGAGGAGGGAAAGCCUGCUGUCUGGAGAGCACACUGGUCUCCAGCGUGGGGAGAGAGAGCACUUUCGGGCUUUGCUGAGGAGGGUCUUCAGAAAAAAGAGUACUGCCAACAAGAAGGCCCAAUCAAGAUCCUCCCACAACAAGAGCAGAUUGUGAGCGUGGCAAGCUCUAUGCUGAGCACUGGAAGGACAAAGAGAGAUUGGGCACAGACUUCUCACUGAUCCAGGUGAUGAAGAGCUCACAUCUGAGAGGAUGUGACCAUGGAUGACCCACCAGAAUGUCAUGGGAUCCAGCUACAGCCAAGGAAGCACAGAGCACCGUGGGAGCGAUUUAUUGUGCUUGGGGAUGGGGAAGGGGACAUGGGAGGAGCCAUAUUGAGAAAGUAGCAUGGGUACUUGGCUUCACAGAGUGUGGCAGCUUUCAUCAGGAAGUGAUGGUGGGGGAACAGCGUCUCUGGCGGAGGGAAGCAGCAGGUGCAGAGGUGCAGAGGUGUGAGGAGUCUGUCACAUUCUGGGAAGGGAGUAUGGUUGGGUGACAAUGCAAGACAGAGAAAGCAAGGAGGGAAGGAGGGGCCUAGCCUGAGGAAUAAAGAAUAAUAAAAGCAGGAAAACAAUUGCUGAGAGUUUGGAUACCUUUUUCUGGCCUUUCAUCUAAGCUUUGCUAGCCAGCCAAGAGAAAGCUGGCACUUCCCCUCCCCGAGCUUCCCUCGAAAGAGGAAGGGUUAAUUCAG